rnacentral:rRNA from 1 species
GAUGAACGCUGGCGGCGUGCCUAAUACAUGCAAGUCGAGCGAACAGAUGAGGAGCUUGCUCCUCUGACGUUAGCGGCGGACGGGUGAGUAACACGUGGAUAACCUACCUAUAAGACUGGGAUAACUUCGGGAAACCGGAGCUAAUACCGGAUAAUAUAUUGAACCGCAUGGCUCAAUAGUGAAAGACGGUUUUGCUGUCACUUAUAGAUGGAUCCGCGCCGCAUUAGCUAGUUGGUAAGGUAACGGCUUACCAAGGCGACGAUGCGUAGCCGACCUGAGAGGGUGAUCGGCCACACUGGAACUGAGCCACGGUCCAGACUCCUACGGGAGGCAGCAGUAGGGAAUCUUCCGCAAAGGGCGAAAGCCUGACGGAGCAACGCCGCGUGAGUGAUGAAGGUCUUCGGAUCGUAAAACUCUGUUAUUAGGGAAGAACAAAUGUGUAAGUAACUAUGCACGUCUUGACGGUACCUAAUCAGAAAGCCACGGCUAACUACGUG